rnacentral:rRNA from 1 species
GCUUGGUUUAUACCACGUUGAAUACACCGGUUCUCUUCCGAUCACCGAAGUUAAGCAACGCCAGGCGCGGUCAGUACUUGAAUGGGUGACCGCCUGGGAACACCGCGUGACGUUGGCU